rnacentral:rRNA from 1 species
CUACGGGAUGCAGCAGUGGGGAAUAUUGGACAAUGGGGGAAACCCUGAUCCAGCAAUGCCGCGUGUGUGAAGAAGGCCUGCGGGUUGUAAAGCACUUUCGGUUGGGAGGACUGCUUCUAGCACUAAUAUUGUUGGAAGUUGACGUUACCUUCAGAAGAAGCACCGGCUAACUCCGUGCCAGCAGGCCGCGGUAAUACGGAGGGUGCAAGCGUUAAUCGGAAUUACUGGGCGUAAAGCGCGCGUAGGCGGCUAGAUCAGUCGGGUGUGAAAGCCCCGGGCUUAACCUGGGAACUGCAUCCGAUACUGGCUAGCUGGAGUACAGGAGAGGAGAGUGGAAUUCCACAUGUAGCGGUGAAAUGCGUAGAUAUGUGGAGGAACACCAAUGGCGGAGGCAGCUCUCUGGCCUGAUACUGACGCUGAGGUGCGAAAGCGUGGGGAGCAAACAGGAUUAGAUACCCUUGUAGUC